GGGGAGGAGAUGAGAGAGCAGAACCAGAACCUGGGUCAGCACAUUUUCUUAUCCUUUAGAUCAAGUUUGAUGUCAACAGGGAAGCAUUGUGAUGCCAUAAGGAUCAUCCCGUCUGCGGUGCUGAAAUGAGGGUGGCUGGCAGCUGCGAGGUGGUGAAUUGGCGCCACCGUUGGCCCUCAGCUGCAGCUGCAGCUUUGCUCUUGAUGGCUGAAUUAUUAAUAAAUGUGGAGUUUAAACAUGA